UUAUGGAGAGAAGAGCAGGAGGAGGAGGAGGAGGAGGAGGUCUCAACAGGAGAGGAAGAGCUGUGAUUGGCUGCUGAUGUCUGGACCCUGACUGAUCUCAGACCAGCAUCCAUGUUCUCCUGAUCCGUCACUCUAAAGGUCAUGGAUGGUGAACCUCUCAGUCAGAGCUCAGACCUUCAUCUGUUCAUCCACAGUUAAAGUCGUCCACAGGAGCCUCACACUCUUCCCUCCCACACUCCUCCUCCUCCUCCUCCUCCUCCUCCUCCUCUCUCCAUUUU